GAUGAACGCUAGCUACAGGCUUAACACAUGCAAGUCGAGGGGAAACGAUAGAGAAAGCUUGCUUUUUCUAGGCGUCGACCGGCGCACGGGUGAGUAACGCGUAUCCAACCUGCCCAUCACUUGGGGAUAACCUUGCGAAAGUAAGACUAAUACCCAAUGACGUCUCUAGAAGACAUCUGAAAGAGAUUAAAGAUUUAUCGGUGAUGGAUGGGGAUGCGUCUGAUUAGCUUGUUGGCGGGGUAACGGCCCACCAAGGCGACGAUCAGUAGGGGUUCUGAGAGGAAGGUCCCCCACAUUGGAACUGAGACACGGUCCAAACUCCUACGGGAGGCAGCAGUGAGGAAUAUUGGUCAAUGGACGAGAGUCUGAACCAGCCAAGUAGCGUGCAGGAUGACGGCCCUAUGGGUUGUAAACUGCUUUUAUAAGGGAAUAAAGUGAGUCUCGUGAGACUUUUUGCAUGUACCUUAUGAAUAAGGACCGGCUAAUUCCGUGCCAGCAGCCGCAGUAAGAC
rnacentral:rRNA from 1 species